rnacentral:rRNA from 1 species
AUUGAACGCUGGCGGCAGGCCUAACACAUGCCAGUCGAGCGGAGCGGCGGACGGGUGAGUAAUGCCUCGGAAUCUGCCUGGUAGUGGGGGAUAACGUCCGGAAACGGGCGCUAAUACCGCAUCCUUUCCGAUGAGCCUAGGUCGGAUUAGCUAGUUGGUGGGGUAAAGGCCUACCAAGGCGACGAUCCGUAACUGGUCUGAGAGGAGGUUCAGUCAGACUGGAACGGAGAAACGGUCCAGACUCCUACGGGAGGCAGCAGUGGGGAAUAUUGGACAAUGGGCGAAAGCCGGAGCCAGCAAUGCCGCGUGUGUGAAGAAGGUCUUCGGAUUGUAAAGCACUUUAAGUUGGGAGGCGUUACCAACAGAAUAAGCACCGGCUAACUUCGUGCCAGCAGCCGCGGUAAUUC